GGCCCCGGGGUGUGACACGUCAGAUUGCAAACCUGAAGAAGUAGGCUUUCCGCCUGCCGGGGCUU
rnacentral:tRNA from 1 species